AGAGUUUGAUCCUGGCUCAGGAUGAACGCUAGCGGCAGGCUUAACACAUGCAAGUCGAGGGGCAGCGCGGGGUAGCAAUACUCUGGCGGCGACCGGCGGAAGGGUGCGUAACACGUGAGCGACUUGCCCGAUACAGGGAGAUAACCGGUGGAAACGCCGACUAAUAUCCCAUACGACAUGAGGCUGCAUGGCCUUGGGUUGAAAGGUUCGCCGGUAUCGGAUAGGCUCGCGGGACAUUAGCUGGAUGGCGGGGCAACGGCCCACCAUGGCGACGAUGUCUAGGGGUUCUGAGAGGAAGAUCCCCCACACUGGAACUGAGACACGGUCCAGACACCUACGGGUGGCAGCAGUCGAGAAUCAUUCACAAUGGGGGAAACCCUGAUGGUGUGACGCCGCGUGGGGGAAUGAAGGUCUUCGGAUUGUAAACCCCUGUCAUGUGGGAGCAAAUUAAAAAGAUAGUACCACAAGAGGAAGAGACGGCUAACUCUGUGCCAGCAGCCGCGGUAAUACAGAGGUCUCAAGCGUUGUUCGGAAUCACUGGGCGUAAAGCGUGCGUAGGCUGUUUCGUAAGUCGUGUGUGAAAGGCGCGGGCUCAACCCGCGGACGGCACAUGAUACUGCGAGACUAGAGUAAUGGAGGGGGAACCGGAAUUCUCGGUGUAGCAGUGAAAUGCGUAGAUAUCGAGAGGAACACUCGUGGCGAAGGCGGGUUCCUGGACAUUAACUGACGCUGAGGCACGAAGGCCAGGGGAGCGAAAGGGAUUAGAUACCCCUGUAGUCCUGGCAGUAAACGGUGCACGCUUGGUGUGCGGGGAAUCGACCCCCUGCGUGCCGGAGCUAACGCGUUAAGCGUGCCGCCUGGGGAGUACGGUCGCAAGAUUAAAACUCAAAGAAAUUGACGGGGACCCGCACAAGCGGUGGAGUAUGUGGUUUAAUUCGAAGCAACGCGAAGAACCUUACCAGGCCUUGACAUCCCUUGCAGAGGUAUAGAGAUAUAUCCGAGGUUAUCAAGGAGACAGGUGGUGCAUGGUUGUCGUCAGCUCGUGUCGUGAGAUGUUGGGUUAAGUCCCGCAACGAGCGCAACCCUUAUGGUCAGUUACUACGCAAGAGGACUCUGGCCAGACUGCCGUUGACAAAACGGAGGAAGGUGGGGAUGACGUCAAAUCAUCAUGCCCUUUAUGACUUGGGCUACACACGUACUACAAUGGCGUUAAACAAAGAGAAGCAAGACCGCGAGGUGGAGCAAAACUCAGAAACAACGUCCCAGUUCGGACUGCAGGCUGCAACUCGCCUGCACGAAGUCGGAAUUGCUAGUAAUCGCAGAUCAGCAUGCUGCGGUGAAUACGUUCCCGGGCCUUGUACACACCGCCCGUCACACCAUGAGAGCCGGGGGGACCCGAAGUCGGUAGUCUAACCGCAAGGAGGACGCCGCCGAAGGUAAAACUGGUGAUUGGGGUGAAGUCGUAACAAGGUAGCCGUAGGAGAACCUGCGGCUG
rnacentral:rRNA from 1 species